rnacentral:rRNA from 1 species
CACGUAGGGUGCGAGCGUUGUCCGGAAUUAUUGGGCGUAAAGAGCUCGUAGGCGGUGUGUCGCGUCGGCCGUGAAAACCCGCAGCUUAACUGCGGGCUUGCGGUUGAUACGGGCGGGCUAGAGUUCGGUAGGGGAGACUGGAAUUCCUGGUGUAGCGGUGAAAUGCGCAGAUAUCAGGAGGAACACCAGCGGCGAAGGCGGCGCUCUGGGCCGGUACUGACGCUGAGGAGCGAAAGCGUGGGGAGCGAACAGG